rnacentral:rRNA from 1 species
GAUGAACGCUGGCGGCGUGCCUAAUACAUGCAAGUCGAGCGAACGGACGAGAAGCUUGCUUAUCUGAUGUUAGCGGCGGACGGGUGAGUAACACGUGGAUAACCUACCUAUAAGACUGGGAUAACUUCGGGAAACCGGAGCUAAUACCGGAUAAUAUUUUGAACCGCAUGGUUCAAAAGUGAAAGACGGUCUUGCUGUCACUUAUAGAUGGAUCCGCGCUGCAUUAGCUAGUUGGUAAGGUAACGGCUUACCAAGGCAACGAUGCAUAGCCGACCUGAGAGGGGGAUCGGCCACCUGGGAACUGAGACAGGGGCCAGACCCCUAGGGGAGGGAGCAGGAGGGAAUCUUCCGCAAUGGGCGAAAGCCGGACGGAGAAACGCCGGGUGGGUGAUGAGGGUUUGCGGAUCGUAAAACUCUUUUAUUAGGGAAAAAAAUAUGUGAAAGUAACUGGGCACAUCUUGACGGUACCUAAUCAGAAAGCCCCGGCUAACUACGU